CCUACGGGAGGCAGCAGUGAGGAAUAUUGGUCAAUGGCCGGAAGGCUGAACCAGCCAAGUCGCGUGAGUGAAGAAGUAUUUCGGUAUGUAAAGCUCUAUCAGCAGGGAAGAAAAUGACGGUACCUGAUUAAGAAGCCACGGCUAACUACGUGCCAGCAGCCGCGGUAAUACGAAGGGGGCAAGCGUGAUCCGGAUUUACUGGGUGUAAAGGGAGCGUAGACGGCAGCACAAGUCUGGAGUGAAAGGCCGGGGCUUAACCCAGGAACUGCUUUGGAAACUGUGCAGCUAGAGUGCAGGAGAGGUAAGUGGAAUUCCUAGUGUAGCGGUGAAAUGCGUAGAUAUUAGGAAGAACACCAGUGGCGAAGGCGGCUGACUGGACUGUAACUGACGUUGAGGCUCGAAAGCGUGGGGAGCAAACAGGAUUAGAUACCCGUGUAGUC
rnacentral:rRNA from 1 species